rnacentral:rRNA from 1 species
GUUACGCUGGCGGCGUGCCUAACACAUGCAAGUCGAACGGUUCUAAGCGCGAGCUUAGGAUAGUGGCGAACGGGUGAGUAAAAGGUAGGAAUCUACCCCUUGGACGGAGAUAGCUACUGGAAACGGUAGGUAAACUUCGAUAAGCCCGAGAGGGGAAAGUGGGUGAGACAGCCGAGGGAUGAGCCUACUCUCCAUCAGGUAGUUGGUGAGAUAAAAGCUUACCAAGCCGAUGACGGAUAACCGGUGUGAGAGCAUGAACGGUCACAAGGGCACUGAGAGACGGGCCCUACUCCUACGGGAGGCAGCAGUGGGGAAUCUUGGACAAUGGGCGAAAGCCUGAUCCAGCGACGCCGCGUGGAGGAAGAAGUCCUUCGGGAUGUAAACUUCUGAACUAGCCGAAUAAAAGGCCUGUGGACACACAGGAGAAGAAAGUAGGCUAGGAAAAGUCCCGGCUAACUACGUG